AACCCACAGCUCUCAGAAAUCCAAGGCUUCCACCAAAAGAGAUGCAUUAGAGAAGACACUUGAAAAGUAGGAUGGAAGUGAUUGCAACUGCUUUUUGCAAGAUCUACUGGCAGCAAAUGCCCUGAAGACGGUGUUUUAAAGAAUGUUGAAAAGAAACGAGGGAAUACAAAGCUGAGAUUUAAUGGCAUUAAAAAAAAGGUGAAUCAUGGUAUUACCUACAUCUUGAAAGGAGUCCAUAAACAGUUGAGAAACAGUCCCAUCUCUCAAAAGAACUAAAUGUUCCCUUAGGAAUUCACAUACCAGCUGGCACUAACCCCAUGUGCCUUGGGGACAUAGGCUAUACUUCUAGAGCCUCUUUUUUUUCUUCUUACAUCUGGCAUUAAACCAAUAAGAACAGAUUUAGUUUAUUAGUAUAUGUUAAAAGGAAGUUAAAGUUGA
rnacentral:lncRNA from 1 species